rnacentral:rRNA from 1 species
UACGUAGGGUGCGAGCGUUAAUCGGAAUUACUGGGCGUAAAGCGUGCGCAGGCGGUUCGCCAAGUCAGGUGUGAAAUCCCCGGGCUUAACCUGGGAAUUGCGCUUGAAACUAGCGGGCUUGAGUGUGGCAGAGGGGGGUGGAAUUCCACGUGUAGCAGUGAAAUGCGUAGAGAUGUGGAGGAACACCGAUGGCGAAGGCAGCCCCCUGGGUCAACACUGAUGCUCAUGCACGAAAGCGUGGGGAGCAAACAGG